rnacentral:rRNA from 1 species
AUUGAACGCUGGCGGCAGGCUUAACACAUGCAAGUCGAGCGGAGCGGCGGACGGGGGAGUAAUGCUUAGGAAUCUGCCUGGUCGCGGGGGAUAACGUUCGGAAAUGGGCGCUAAUACCGCAUACUAUCAGAUUAGCCUCGGUCGGAUUAGCUAGUGGGUGGGGUAAAGGCCUACCAAGGCGACGAUCCGUAACUGGUGUUAGAGGAUGAUCAGUCACACUGGAACUGAGAAACGGUCCAGACUCCUACGGGAGGCAGCAGUGGGGAAUAUUGGACAAUGGGGGAAAGCCUGAUCAAGCCAUGCCGCGUGUGUGAAGAAGGUCUUCGGAUUGUAAAGGACUUUAGGUUGGGAGGCGUUACCAGCAGAAUAAGCACCGGCUAACUUCGUGCCAGCAGCCGCGGUAAUAC